rnacentral:rRNA from 1 species
GACGAACGCUGGCGGCGUGCUUAACACAUGCAAGUCGAACGGAAAGGCCCUGCUUUUGUGGGGUGCUCGAGUGGCGAACGGGUGAGUAACACGUGAGUAACCUGCCCUUGACUUUGGGAUAACUUCAGGAAACUGGGGCUAAUACCGGAUAGGAGCUCCUGCUGCAUGGUGGGGGUUGGAAAGUUUCGGCGGUUGGGGAUGGACUCGCGGCUUAUCAGCUUGUUGGUGGGGUAGUGGCUUACCAAGGCUUUGACGGGUAGCCGGCCUGAGAGGGUGACCGGCCACAUUGGGACUGAGAUACGGCCCAGACUCCUACGGGGGGCAGCAGUGGGGAAUAGUGCACAAUGGGCGGAAGCCUGAUGCAGCAACGCCGCGUGCGGGAUGACGGCCUUCGGGUUGUAAACCGCUUUCGCCUGUGACGAAGCGUGAGUGACGGUAAUGGGUAAAGAAGCACCGGCUAACUACGU